rnacentral:rRNA from 1 species
GAUGAACGCUGGCGGCGUGCCUAAUACAUGCAAGUCGAGCGAACAGACGAGGAGCUUUCUCCUCUGCCGUUAGCGGCGGACGGGUGAGUAACACGUGGAUAACCUACCCAUAAUACUUGGAUAACUUCGUGAAACCGGAGCUAAUACCGGAUAAUAUAUUUAACCGCAUGGUUCAAUAGUUAUAGACGGUUUUGCUGUCACUUAUAGAUGGAUCCGCGCCGCAUUAGCUAGUUGGUAAGGUAACGGCUUACCAAGGCAACGAUGCGUAGCCGACCUGAGAGGGUGAUCGGCCACACUGGAACUGAGACACGGUCCAGACUCCUACGGGAGGCAGCAGUAGGGAAUCUUCCGCAAUGGGCGAAAGCCUGACGGAGCAACGCCGCGUGAGUGAUGAAGGUCUUCGGAUCGUAAAACUCUGUUAUUAGGGAAGAACAAAUGUGUAAGUAACUAUGCACGUCUUGACGGUACCUAAUCAGAAAGCCACGGCUAACUACGUG